rnacentral:lncRNA from 1 species
UGUAUAACUUAUACAUGCAUUAUCUUGAUGGGACAAAAGCAAACUAAUUCAACACUAUUUCACGACGUUCUUCAGGAACUGCCAUUUUGCCCCCUAACGGUGAGAAAAUUGUCUCAAAAUUUAGGAAAAUAAACGCACCAUAAUUAUCGAGUCAAAUUGACUGGAUUGGAUAAUGUAGGAGUUGUGCUCGUAAGCGUCUUGACGAUAGAC